rnacentral:rRNA from 1 species
UUGUGUGUUCCAAAAGACCAAGGAGGAAUGGGUUUCCAUGAUCACUGUUUUAACCCGACUUUAUUAGCGAAGCAAGCGUGGUGUCUCGUGGAUAAUCUUGAAUCGUUAUGUGCAACAAUCCUAAGAGCCAAGUAUUUCCCCGAAGGUGAUUUGAUGAGCGUAGUAUUAAAAAAGGGCGCCUCCUUUACUUGGCAAAGCAUUAUGGCAGGAGUAGACUCUCUCAAGAAUGGCUAUAUAUGGAGAGUGGGAACAGGAGAAAAUAUUGACAUAUGAAGAGAUGCAUGGAUCUCAAAUUGUGCAGACAGGAAAAUUAUUACACCUAGAAGGGGGGAUCUACUGACGAAAUUUUUUGAUCUUAUUAACCCAAUCACAAAUGGUUGGGAUGAAGAGUUGGUAAGACAAACUUUAUGGCCAAUUGAUGCCCGUAGAGUACUAGCGAUCCCGAUCCCUAUGCAUAAUAUGUCAGACUUUAUUGCGUGGAGCUAUACAAAAACGAUUCACUGUACAAUCAGCUUAUGUGGAGGAAUGGAAUAA